GAGGAAUGGAUCCACCUCUGUGUUGUGAUGUCUGCAGAACUGCCAGCAUGUGCUGUUGCAGCCAUUAUAACAGUAACAACUUUUAAAGGAGGAAGUAUGUUGCAAACAUCACAGUUGGAAACUUGAAAGUAGACUUUGCCUCUGGAGUAAAGGAAUGAGAACCCACUUGUGGGCUGACUGCCAUAUAAUGGCAACAAAAGAAAAAAGAAGACAAUAAAAAAGAUGUACACAACAACACAGUACUACUUAUUAGGAGCAAUAAUUUAUCCCCUAAAGAUAAUAUAAUCCAUGUACAAACUCAAAGAUGUCUAAUGAAGAUCAUCACCAGCACAUUAUUUAUCUUUCAAAAACUAGCUAUACGGUUUACUGUGCUGAAGAUGAGUUCACAUACUUAGGUUAUUUUUAAAAUAAACUGAUUAAAA
rnacentral:lncRNA from 1 species